CCUACGGGAGGCAGCAGUGAGGAAUAUUGGUCAAUGGACGAGAGUCUGAACCAGCCAAGUAGCGUGAAGGAUGACUGCCCUAUGGGUUGUAAACUUCUUUUAUAAAGGAAUAAAACGAGGCACGUGUGCCUUUUUGCAUGUACUUUAUGAAUAAGGAUCGGCUAACUCCGUGCCAGCAGCCGCGGUAAUACGGAGGAUCCGAGCGUUAUCCGGAUUUAUUGGGUUUAAAGGGAGCGUAGAUGGGUUGUUAAGUCAGUUGUGAAAGUUUGCGGCUCAACCGUAAAAUUGCAGUUGAUACUGGCAGUCGUGAGUACAGUUGAGGUAAGCGGAAUUCGUGGUGUAGCGGUGAAAUGCUUAGAUAUCACGAAGAACCCCGAUUGCGAAGGCAGCUUACUAAACUGUGACUGACAUUGAUGCUCGAAAGUGUGGGUAUCAAACAGGAUUAGAUACCCGUGUAGUC
rnacentral:rRNA from 1 species